UGAUCUGUAGCUCAACGGUUAGAGCAACUGCCUUAUACGCAGCAGGCUACCGGUUCAAAUCCGGUCAGAUCAA
rfam:Chitinophaga pinensis DSM 2588, complete genome.